rnacentral:misc_RNA from 1 species
GAGAAGAACGUAGCGAAAUGCGAUAAGUAAUGUGAAUUGCAGAAUUCAGUGAAUCAUCGAAUCUUUGAACGCACAUUGCGCCCGCCAGUAUUCUGGCGGGCAUGCCUGUUCGAGCGUCAUUUCAACCAUCAAGCCCCAGGCUUGUGUUGGGACCUGCGGCUGCCGCAGGCCCUGAAAACCAGUGGCGGGCUCGCUGUCACACCGGGCGUAGUAGAUUUUAUCUCGCUCAGGGCGUGCUGCGGGUUCCGGCCGUUAAAAAGCCUUUUUUACCCAAGGUUGACCUCGGAUCAGGUAGGAAGACCCGCUGAACUUAAGCAUAUCAAUAAGCGGAGGA